AGAUAUCUUUAGUCAUGUGAGUUGCAACCAGACGCUUAUAUAAGCAGCUGAUGUUCCAAGUGGGAAAUCUGAAGCUUUUGCAAGUGCUAACAUAGAAAAUGUCUUCCAGCUGCCACGUAUGGACCAUUUUGGCCAUAUAUAUUUUUCUUCUGUCCACAUUGCAAAGUAAAGAUAGGUCAUUUGCUGCGGCGGAACAGUAUCGCGUGGAAAUAGAGGAAAGAGGUUAUUACUACUACAACUAUCCUCAUGGAGGCCGCACACGUCCAACGACUCGACGUUCAACGCCAAGAUCAACGGCACGUUCUACACCCAAUCGGCAAGGAAGAUGACUUUGAACGCAUAUUAUUGUGCCAGGCAGUGCAUAGUGGAUCUUAGGCCCUGCUUAAAUCUGCCGUGCUAGAGAGCUGACUGCUGUGGAAUUUACCAAUAAAAGCUUUGCAACCGA